UACAGAGGGUGCGAGCGUUGUUCGGAAUUACUGGGCGUAAAGCGCGCGUAGGCGGAUUUGCAAGUCGGGGGUGAAAGCCCGAGGCUCAACCUCGGAACUGCCCUCGAUACUGCAAAUCUCGAGUCCGAGAGAGGUGAGUGGAAUUCCUAGUGUAGAGGUGAAAUUCGUAGAUAUUAGGAAGAACACCAGUGGCGAAGGCGGCUCACUGGCUCGGUACUGACGCUGAGGCGCGAAAGCGUGGGGAGCAAACAGG
rnacentral:rRNA from 1 species